rnacentral:rRNA from 1 species
GACGUACCGAGCGAACGUUGUUCGGAAUCAUUGGGCUUAAAGGGCGCGUAGGCGGGCGCUCAAGUCCGCGGUGAAAUCCUCCGGCUCAACCGGAGAACUGCCUCGGAUACUGGGCGUCUCGAGUGUGGUAGGGGUAUGCGGAACUAUCGGUGGAGCGGUGAAAUGCGUUGAUAUCGAUAGGAACUCCGGUGGCGAAGGCGGCAUACUGGACCACCACUGACGCUGAUGCGCGAAAGCCAGGGGAGCAAACGGG